GAUGAACGCUGGCGGCGUGCCUAAUACAUGCAAGUCGAGCGAACGGACGAGACGCUUGCUUUUCUGAUGUUAGCGGCGGACGGGUGAGUAACACGUGGAUAACCUACCUAUAAGACUGGGAUAACUUCGGGAAACCGGAGCUAAUACCGGAUAAUAUUUUGAACCGCAUGGUUCAAAAGUGAAAGACGGUCUUGCUGUCACUUCUAGAUGGAUCCGCGCUGCAUUAGCUAGUUGGUAAGGUAACGGCUUACCAAGGCAACGAUGCAUAGCCGACCUGAGAGGGUGAUAGGCCACACUGGAACGGAGACACGGUCCAGGCGCCUACGGGAGGCAGCAGUAGGGAAUCUGACGCAAUGGGCGAAAGCAUGACGGAGCAACGCCGCGUGAGUGAUGAAGGUCUUCGGAUCGUAAAACUCUGUUAUUAGGGAAGAACAUAUGUGUAAGUAACUGUGCACAGCGUGACGGUACCUAAUCAGAAAGCCACGGCUAACUACGUG
rnacentral:rRNA from 1 species